rnacentral:lncRNA from 1 species
CACAAUAUUGACUUGAAUGCUUUUGUAUGAUUCUAGACAUACAUGAGGAGUUUAUGAACUUCUUUCAACGUUAUUGAUAUGUUUUGAUGAAUUCAGAUAUUUACAUGACAGAGUUUGUUCAGUGUUAGACUUUUAAUACAUUCAUAAUUUGUAUUGUAUUUUACACUUUUAGAUAAGUUUGGACGUUUUCCAGGUCACCGGAAGCAAGCUGUUAUAUAGUGACAGAGGAAAAUUAUUGUGAAAUUAAAUUCCUAAAG